rnacentral:SRP_RNA from 1 species
AGUCAGAUCCCAGGUGAUUGCGACCUACUUAAACCCCGUCAGGUCCGAAAGGAAGCAGCGGUAGAGCAGGUGGCUAGGUGCUUGGCCCAUCUGACUAUC